UACGUAGGGUGCGAGCGUUAAUCGGAAUUACUGGGCGUAAAGCGUGCGCAGGCGGUUCGUGAUGUCUGAUGUGAAAGCCCCGGGCUCAACCUGGGAAUUGCAUUGGAAACUAGCGGGCUGGAGUGUGGCAGAGGGGGGUGGAAUUCCACGUGUAGCAGUGAAAUGCGUAGAGAUGUGGAGGAACACCGAUGGCGAAGGCAGCCCCCUGGGCUAACACUGACGCUCAUGCACGAAAGCGUGGGGAGCAAACAGG
rnacentral:rRNA from 2 species